UACGUAGGGUGCAAGCGUUGUCCGGAAUUAUUGGGCGUAAAGAGCUCGUAGGCGGUUCGUCGCGUCGGCUGUGAAAUCCCGAGGCUCAACCUCGGGUCUGCAGUCGAUACGGGCGGACUGGAGUUCGGCAGGGGAGACUGGAAUUCCUGGUGUAGCGGUGAAAUGCGCAGAUAUCAGGAGGAACACCAGCGGCGAAGGCGGCGCUCUGGGCCGGUACUGACGCUGAGGAGCGAAAGCGUGGGGAGCAAACAGG
rnacentral:rRNA from 1 species